rnacentral:rRNA from 1 species
UACGAAGGGUGCAAGCGUUGUUCGGAUUUAUUGGGCGUAAAGCGCGCGUAGGCGGACCUGUAAGUCAGAUGUGAAAUCUCGGGCUCAACCGUCGAAACUGCGUCUGAAACUGCAGGUCUAGAAUCUCGGAGGGGAAGGGGAAUUUCGCAUGUAGGGGUAAAAAUCCGUAGAUAUGCGAAGGAACACCAGAGGCGAAGGCGCCUUCCUGGACGAGUAUUGACGCUGAGGCGCGAAAGC